rnacentral:rRNA from 1 species
UAGGGAAUUUUGCGCAAUGGGCGAAAGCCUGACGCAGCAACACCGCGUGUAGGAUGAAGGUCUUUGGAUUGUAAACUACUGUCAGCAGGGAAUAAUUUUGACUGUACCUGCAAAGGAAGCAUCGGCUAACUACGUGCCAGCAGCCGCGGUAAGACGUAGGAUGCAAGCGUUGUCCGGAAUUAUUGGGCGUAAAGAGUUCGUAGGUGGUUACUUAAGUCUGGUGUUAAAGCCCGAAGCUCAACUUCGGCAUGGCAUUGGAAACUGGGUGACUAGAGUACGGUAGAGGUAUCGGGAAUUCCUGGUGUAGCGGUGAAAUGCGUAGAUAUCAGGAGGAACACCGGUGGCGAAAGCGCGAUACUGGGCCGUAACUGACGCUGAGGAACGAAAGCCAGGGGAGCGAAAGGGAUUAGAUACCCGGGUAGUCC